GUUUAAUACAGCUGCAAAGAGAGUGAUGUUGAAUUUUAUAUCUUUCACUAAUGUAGGUGCUGUACUGUCGUCAUGGUUAUAUCAGGUUUCAUGAGUCAGGCGAAGUGAUAUCAGAUAGCACUGGCAAUACAAGACAGGAAGAAAUGGCAGCAACCAUGUCAGAGGAUAAUGCUGAAAGGGAGGAAAGGGCCUCAACAUCACUCAAUACUGUUUUCUCAGCCAGUGCCAGCCCAUCUGCAGAGCCUGCCACUGAAGAGUGGAAGAUUGAACCGGAUCUUGAAUCAGCUGCCCGGAUGUAUCGAAGACAGAUCUUAAAGAAUGCCGAUGACAAACCAGACCAAGUUGUUACACUAGAUCUGCACAGCUGUGAAAAGGAUCGUGAACGAGAAAUGUUAGCUUUUUAUAAACGUCCAAAUGUUGAUUGGACAAGUCCAUUAACUGUAAAACUUAAAGGUGAUGCUGCACUAGGGGAUGGAGUUAAACGGCACUUUUUCACAUUGAUAAUGGAAAAGCUCCACCAUGGAUUUGAACUUGACAUUGAUAACUGUGGCAAAACGCUGUUCUUCAAUGGCGAAGAUGAUCACAAGGUUCCUUCAACAUCCAGAGCACUCUUGGAUGGUGAUCUGUUCAGAGUUGUGGGAAGAAUGAUUGGACAUACAUCUAUGAAUGAAGGUCCACUCUACUCAGGACUUAGUCCAGCUUUCUUCCCCCUUUUAAGUGGCGUUAAGGAUGAUACUCCAGUUUUGGAAUUGCGUCAAUUAUGCUGGCAUUAGGUAUUUUCUGUCCCGCAGUUUGCCCUCUAGUGGUUGUUUUUGUGUAUUUUUACUCUGCAAGAUCUAGUCAGAGGCAGUUU